rnacentral:rRNA from 1 species
CACGUAGGGUGCGAGCGUUGUCCGGAAUUAUUGGGCGUAAAGAGCUCGUAGGUGGCUUGUCACGUCGGGUGUGAAAACUUGGGGCUUAACUCCAGGUCUGCAUUCGAUACGGGCUGGCUAGAGGUAGGUAGGGGAGAACGGAAUUCCUGGUGUAGCGGUGAAAUGCGCAGAUAUCAGGAGGAACACCGGUGGCGAAGGCGGUUCUCUGGGCCUUACCUGACGCUGAGGAGCGAAAGUGUGGGGAGCGAACAGG